UGCGAGGGAAGCGCAGGUCCUGGUGCAGCAUGAACACACGGACCGGGAUGAUGUUGGGGUCACACAGAUGGUUUAUAAAGCGGCUGAUGUUACCAUAGUAACGGGCGUCAAUGCAGUACACUUCACCAUCCUGAGAAGAUGAAGCUUCCUUGAGGAAUGUCCUGAAGCGCUCUGACACCCCAUCCCAUCUUCUCCGUCCGGUUUUAUGGCAGGAACAGGCCAUGUUGCACUCGAAGAUCAGAGGAGGCUCGAUUUUGUUGAACUCCUGAAGGAGGCGAUGAUCCUACGAAAACACGUGUGUGUUACACAGCAUCCAGCUUCAGAGUGACUUCAGAGCUCAUCGUGG